rnacentral:rRNA from 1 species
UACGUAGGGGGCAAGCGUUGUCCGGAAUCAUUGGGCGUAAAGCGCGUGUAGGCGGCUAGGUAAGUCUGCUCUGAAAGCCCGGGGCUCAACCCCGGGAGGCGGGUGGAUACUGUCUAGCUCGAGUCCGGAAGAGGAGUGUGGAAUUCCUGGUGUAGCGGUGAAAUGCGCAGAUAUCAGGAGGAACACCAAUGGCGAAGGCAGCACUCUGGGACGUGACUGACGCUGAGACACGAAAGCGUGGGUAGCAAACAGG